GAUGUAGAACCCUUGGGGAACAUUUUAGCCGAACUUUUCCCUAAUAUAAGUAUGGGCAGAACGCAGUACUAAUGGAACUGUGAAUUCGGUUCUUGCAAUAUUAAUUAAGCAAAUAGACCAUCAAGUCUUUUUCACGUAGGAGAAUUGCAAGCAUACGUCUUUGGUCUUUGGGGUUCAAUUGAAGGAAGAAAAACAUUGUUUCCUACAAUAUUAUGGAAGCAGCAACGUGAAUGUUAGUAGCAGCAACAUGAUUUCCUUUUUAAGGAAGAAAAAUAUAUUGCAUUUCAAGAACAAUAUUCGGGUUUUGCUCACUGCUUCAACCUCGUUGUUUCGCUUUGUUGUGUUGUUAAAUCCGAUUUUCUUCAAGUGAAGUAAGGUGGAAAAAGAUCAUUUCUUGGAAUAUAAGGUUUAUCAUAUUAAUUGUGGAAGUUCUUGGCUGGACUGAGCUCUUGAACGACGUAAGGUACAGACGCACAGUUCGGUGAUCCCCCAGUUUAGGAUAUCCCCUUCAGCUGUUUGGAGUGCUCUUCUCAUUUCAGAGCAUACACUUUUGGUAUAUACUUUUGUUCGCUAUGCAUGUAUACAUUUGUUCCGGGGUACGGCGGGGCCCUGUCCCGCCAUAUGAUUCGUUUGGUCUGUUUAGAGGUCUGUAGACUUAUUUGUGGGUGUGUGUGCCUACUUCUGUACAGUUGUGUCCAUAUGAUCUCUUUCGUUAUGGCAGCCUUGUCGGCUCGCACAUGUAUAUGUUGUUUUGUUGGCCCUAUGUGGCCUUUGUUGGUAUUUGCUGUGUACAGGGUUAUUUUGGAUAGUCCGAAAAACAAAGGAAACUCUGCCGAAAUUUUCUUUGAAAAUCUUAUAAAUUUGAAACACCGCCUUGUCGGCUUCUGUUAUAUACCUGGAUGGGUUUGAUAUAAUCUGAGGCAGUGUUUGAUAUUUGUGUCGGUAUAAGUUAUCUGUUUGCCACUCGGAUUUGUGAUUGU